rnacentral:misc_RNA from 1 species
UCCAGCUUAUCGCCGGCGGUCUCCUGAGAGUGCUUCCUUGCGGAAUAGCAACACAGGACGAGGGUUGCGCUCGUUGCGGGACUUAACCCAACAUCUCACGACACGAGCUGACGACAGCCAUGCAGCACCUCGACUCCCGUCUCUUGCGGGAAGACCGUGUUUCCACAGUAUUUCCUGUGCAUGUCAAGCCUCGGUAAGGUUCUUCGCGUUGCGUCGAAUUGAACCACAUGCUCCACCGCUUGUGCGGGCCCCCGUCAAUUCCUUUGAGUUUCAGCCUUGCGACUGUACUCCCCAGGCGGCAUAUUUAACGCGUUAGCUCCGGCACGGACAGAAUGAACUGCCCACACCAAAUAUGCAUCGUUUAGGGCGUGGACUAC